rnacentral:rRNA from 1 species
UACGAAGGGAGCUAGCGUUGCUCGGAAUGACUGGGCGUAAAGGGCGCGUAGGCGGCUUGCACCGUCAGAUGUGAAAUUCCUGGGCUUAACCUGGGGGCUGCAUUUGAUACGUGUGGGCUUGAGUGCGGAAGAGGGGUCGUGGAAUUCCCAGUGUAGAGGUGAAAUUCGUAGAUAUUGGGAAGAACACCGGGUGGCGAAGGCGGCGACCUGGUCCGUGACUGACGCUGAGGCGCGAAAGCGUUGGGGAGCGAACAGG